rnacentral:rRNA from 1 species
UAGAUACCCCACUAUGCUUCGCCUUAAAUCUUGACAGUUCCCCAACCAAAGUGUCCGCCUGAGAACUACGAGCACAAACGCUUAAAAUUCUAAGGACUUGGCGGUGCCCUAAACCCACCUAGAGGAGCCUGUUCUAUAAUCGAUAACCCACGCUAUACCCGACCGCUCUUUGCCCAUUCAGCCUACAUACCGCCGUCGCCAGUCCACCUAUCCUGAAAGAACAAUAGUGGGCACAUUAGCCCUAACCAUGCUAAAAAGACAGGUCAAGGUAUAGCCCAUAGAGCGGAAGAAAUGGGCUACAUUUUCUAAUCUAGAAAACCACGAAAGGGGACAUGAAACUUCCCCAGAAGGCGGAUUUAGCAGUAAAGUUGGACCACAAUGCCACCUUAAAACUGGCCCCGGGGCACGUACAUACCGCCCGUCACCCCCCUCUCUAGCUACCAACACAAGUAACUAACACAGUUGCCAGCCAAAGACAGCU